UGCCAGCAGCCGCGGUAAUACGAAGGUCCCAAGCGUUGUUCGGAAUCACUGGGUGUAAAGGGUUCGUAGGCGGUUUGAUAAGUUGGAUAUGAAAGACCGGAGCUCAACUCCGUGUUUGUGUUCAAAACUGUUAAACUAGAAUUAGGGAGAGGUAAGCGGAAUUCUAAGUGUAGGGGUGCAAUCCGUAGAUACUUAGAGGAACACCAAAAGCGAAGGCAGCUUACUGGAACUAUAUUGACGCUGAGGAACGAAAGCGUGGGUAGCGAAAAGGAUUAGAUA
rnacentral:rRNA from 1 species